rnacentral:rRNA from 1 species
UACGUAGGGUGCAAGCGUUGUCCGGAAUUAUUGGGCGUAAAGAGCUCGUAGGCGGUCUGUCGCGUCGGCUGUGAAAACUUGGGGCUCAACCCCAAGCCUGCAGUCGAUACGGGCAGACUAGAGUGCGGUAGGGGAGACUGGAAUUCCCGGUGUAGCGGUGAAAUGCGCAGAUAUCAGGAGGAACACCGGUGGCGAAGGCGGGUCUCUGGGCCGUAACUGACGCUGAGGAGCGAAAGCGUGGGGAGCGAACAGG